rnacentral:rRNA from 1 species
AACGAACGCUGGCGGCGUGCCUAACACAUGCAAGUCGAACGAGAAAGGGACGUUCGGCUCCGAGUAAAGUGGCGCACGGGUGAGUAACACGUAGGUAACCUGCCUCUAAGAUUGGGAUAACCUGGUCGAAAGACGAGCUAAUACCGAAUAAGACCACAGCUUCCUCAGAAGCAGGGGUCAAAGUAGCCUCUACUUGUAAGCUAUCACUUAGAGAUGGGCCUGCGUACCAUUAGCAGUUGGU